AUGAAGCUGGAUUCGCUAGUAAUCGCGCAUCAGCCACGGCGCGGUGAAUACGUUCCCGGGCCCUUGUACACACCGCCCGUCAAGCCAUGGAAGCCGGGAGUGCCUGAAGUGCGUGACCGCAAGGAGCGUCCUAAGGCAAUACCGGUGACUGGGGCUAAGUCGUAACAAGGUAAC
rnacentral:rRNA from 1 species